GAAAAAACUAGUGAACAAAGAAUUGAUUUAAAGUUAUUUUUAACAGGUUAUUUAUUUAUCUAAAACUUGAAACUGAUUAAUGUAAAUAUCACCAUUUAUACAGAUUUGUACUUUAAGAAAAAAUGUGAAAAUGAUUUCAUUGACUGAGGGAUUACUGCUUAACGUUCAUAGGAUUAUGUUUUAUACCAAUUGAGGACGAUAUAAUGGGUUAAUAGUUUUUGCGGAAUGUACUCCAAUAGAACGAGACACUACACAAAUCAAAUAUUUAUAUUCUCUCUCACACUGGAAUAUUGCACUGGAACACAUUUCAACUUUUGGUGACGCCUAGGGGUAAGUAUAUUAAUAAUGCAUAAAAAAGAGACAUCACAUGAUGCGUAUUUAAGAAAUCAAUUAAAUAGACAACAUGUUGCACUAGACCGACACGCAGCAUGAUUCUGAUUUUGACAUGCAAUUUAACAAGGUAAUAGUUCACUGUAAGAAAUUUCAACCUGUUACGUCUUGACGUUCAAAAGUUAAUAUAUCAUACAUAUCCUAGACGACAGCACAUGAAGGAAUAUUCGGAACGGUUACGGCGCCCCUAGAGGCUUUUCAACGUGAUAUCGCACAAACAAUCUCCGUCACAGAGUUAUAUUCUUUCGUAAAUGCUUCGCAAGACUUCCCUUUAAUAAUCGAACAUUUUCUACAUUUGCCACUUUAUAUAAUAAAACAUCAAAAAACAGAAAUGUGUUCAUUAUUCUGUUUAAGAAAUUGAAGUCAAAUUAUUGAUUGUUUAAAGUAUCCAUGGCCACUGUCGUAAACAUCAAAUUUGUGACAAUUGUGAAACUUUUUCGAAUAAUUUCCAAAGAAACUAUUUCAAUGUGUUUUAAAAUUAAUACUGUAAAAAUACACACUGCAUUCAUCAUCAAUAAUAAAAGAAAUAUAUACUCUUACAUUUAAUCCCAUCGCUUCAUAGUUGAUUUCCCACACACGCCUUAGGAACAUAUAAGGCCAACCCCAAGCCAAGAAUUUGUAAUACUACUUUAAUACUUGCAGUAAAACGAAGUAUGGAUCGGAACGGAUAUGAAUUAUGUGUCGAAGUUUGUCUUGAAAUGCAAACGGUCACUGCAAGACACUUUUUGUCGUCCAGUGGUACAAUGUUAUACAUAUUCAAGACUGCAUAAUAUUAUUAUAUGAAAAGGAAGAUGUAGUAUGAUUGCCAAUGAGACAUCCUUCCACAAGAGGCCAAAAUGACACAGAAAUUAACAACUAUAGGUCACCAUACGGCCUUCAAAAAUGAGCAAAGAUCAUACCGCAUAGUCAGCUAAAAAAGUAAAAAAGGUCCCGAAUUGACAAUGUAAAACAAUUCAAACGAGAAAACUAAAGGCUUUAUCUAUAAUAGUAAAAUAACGAGGUCCAAUUUAUCAGCCGUCAUCGGGUAAAAACGACAAAUCAAAGAAUUGAACUUUAUAUAUAGCUAAUAUAGGAUAAUGGUGUAGAUUAAAAAUUACACCACUUCAGACCCUGUUCUUUUCCACAUAAUUAAUAUUGCCAAUAAUUAACAAGUUCCGGGUCGAAUCGAUACCGAUACCAAUAGUAUAUUCACCUGUUACCUAUUAUCUUAUCUGUACGUUCCGCAUCUGACAUGUGCACCGUCAAAGUUUAACGGUGUAUUUAGGAUUUUGCUAUAUACACGGGUCAUAAUCACAGGGUUGACACUACUACAUUCAAUCAUUGUCAAAUUGUUCCCUAUUGUAGUAUUUUAAUCAGUAAGACUUUCUAAGAUAACAAUACGAAUUAAUACUUCAAGUAAAAUCUGGACUUAAAUAAGGCGUAUAGGUACAGUUUUCAAUUUGUUAGCGGGCAUAACGUAAAACAGCGAUUCAAAGAAUUCAACUUAUUCAUACUUAUAUAGGACACUGCUGUUGAUUAAAAGAUACUCCAUUCCAGGACCUUUUGUUUUCCAAAUAAUUAAUAUUGAUAAGUUCAAGGUCGACUGGUUCAGACAGGAAGAGUUUGAAAGCAGAGAAAACUGUGUAUCUUAUAAUCGGAAUGACUUUAUCAGAUGACAAUACUAAUACUAAAAUAAGGAUUACGCAUAGUUAUGUACUUUAAUUCAGUCACGGACCCGCGAUAUCACGGGUGUGUUCUAGUUUAUAUUAAAAAAAAAUUAAUAUAUACCUUGUGUUUUACAAGAUCAAUACACUACACACGUUAAAAACCACUUUUUUUGUAUUUUUUGUUUUGUGUAACUGAAAAAAAAAACAUGGAGUUCUUUUCUCAUCAAAAUGGAACACACAUAUACAUUUUACCAACAAUAUUAUGGAUUCUCACAAACCAACUAUUUGCGCUGAUCGUAAUAACCAAUACAAAAUCGAACUGGAAUGUUAAAUUGUAUGACAAGUGUUGCAGUUUGUUACAAAUUGAACUAAAACCGUCUCAUUGUUUUAAUGUAGCUGAUGAACCGAUGAAUCAGGAAGUCAGAACAGAAUUGAAAAUAAAAGAAAGCAAUCACGAUUGAAUGAUGUUUGACAUUUUUUCAUUCAACUUUUCUGAAAGUUUUGUUGAAUAUGUUCAUUUGUCCUGCAUAUUAUAGUUUCUGGUUUUGGGAAUACUCAUAAUUCUAUUAUUUCUAUCAACAUUCUAAAAGUAGGAACCACACAAAUUCACACAGUUUAUUCCUCGCUUUAUUAAUCGGAUUCAUUCAAACACAAAAUUGAAAUAUCUUUAACAGUCGCAUGAAGACAUUUAAAUCUUACUGAUAUAUUAACCUGGCUUCUUCAAAAGAGAGUCGGUGCUGGUUUAUACAUCAUACUAAGUAAAAAAUCAACAAAGUAGAAUAGAACCGAAUGACAAGUGUUUCCGUUUGUCUUAAGUUGUAUUCAUAAAAUCAUUUUCUCAUAUCUUUAUUUAAUGUAGGUGAAAAGCCGAUGAAUCAGGAAGUCAGAACAGAAGUGGAAAUACAAGAAAGCCAGCACGAGUGAAUGAUGUUCGAUAUUUUUUCAUUCAACUUUUCUGAAAGUUUCGUUCAAAAUGCUCAUCUGUCCUGCAUAUUACUUUUUCUGGUUUUGGGAAUACUCAUAUUUCUAUUAUUUCUAUCGAUAUUCUUGAAGUAUGACCACACCAACUCUCACGGUUUAUUCCUCGCUUUGUUUAUCGGAUUCAUUCAUCAUAGUUUUGUGUCAAUCAACUGGCUAAAAUCAACAUAUCAUCUAGAUGGAAUAACUGAGUUCGUGUUCGAUUGGUACACUUUUCCUGUUGCCUGUUUUAUAUUGACUUUUGGAGUGGUGUGUAUGACUGAAUUUACAAAAGAGGAGUUUAGAACAAAAAUAUUUCAAAAUGGAAGUUUCAUUUCAACUGUUUUAUUGCUAGUUUUUGGAAUUGGUCUUUACGGUUUCAAACACCAAGAUGCAAUUUAUAGCCAAGUAAAGUUUAACAAACCGGAAUUAAGCAAUAUGAUAACAAUUGUGAGUUAUGCUUUAGAAUAUGUGCUAGUUUAUGCUCCACUUACUGUGAUCCUGCUUUGGAACAUGAAGGGAUGUGUUCUCAUCAAAGAUCAAAAAGGUAAUUAUAUGUCAAUUUCUUUAGACGCAUAUAUAUAUAAAGGUCUAGAUGGUACACAGCUACUUUUGUACAAGUAAUCUUGAUGAACAAUUCUAAAGAUGCAUAUCAAAUAUUCACCUGUAAAGCUGUAUAUAAACUGUGGAUAGAUAUCGUAUUACACAAGGUGGAGUGGUAGUAUCUAUAUGUUUAGCUUAUACACAGAUUUAAAAUUUUGCAGUAAAUGUACAUUUUUCCAGAGUUUAUAUACAGCUUUAAAAAUGUACAGUUUAUAUACAGUUUUCCAGAUGUAUAGUUUAUCUACAGCUUAACAUAUGUACAGUUUAUAUACCUCUUUACAUAUGUACAGUUCUUAUACAGCUUUACAGCUAUACAGUUUAUAUAUAGCUUUACAGAUGUACAUUUGAUAUGCAUCUCUAGAACUGUUCAUCAAGAUUACUUGUUCUAAAGUAUCUGUGAACCAUCUUAAUGUUUUUCAAAUACAAUAAAAAAAGAAGAGAAAAGUAACAGAAAGGUUCUUGUGUUUCUUUAAACAUGAAAACAAGGUAAAUAAAGCAACAGUAGUAUGCCGCUGUUCGAAGGUCGCAAAUCGAUUGAGAGAAAACAAACCUGGGUUACAAGCUAAAACUGAAGUAAACACAUCAACAAUAAAAGCAAGGGAAACAACGAAACAACAUAUAUAUAAGUAAAUAACUCGAUUUUGCUUAUUUGAAUAUGUCCGACGGAUUAAAGAAAUCUGUAUUAAAAACUAGCGCAAAUAUAAUAUCAAGCAAAUUUUGUUCCCAAUAUUCUAUAUGCACCAAAUUCUGUGAAACUUCCACUAACACUUUUCCCCUACAAACCGAUAUAUAUGCAUAACAAAUUUAAGGAUUUUCUUACCCCCAGAUUUAGUAGAUUACCUUAGCCGUAUUUGGCACAACUUUUUUGAAUUUUGGGUCCUCAAUGCUCUUCAACUUUGUAUUUGUUUGGCUUUUUAACUGUUUUGAUCUGAGCGUUACUGAUGAGUCUUAUGUAGACGAAACGCGCGUCUGGCGUAUUAAAUUAUAAUCCUGGUACCUUUGAUAACUAUUUACCCAGCAUAUAAGCUUAAGAAUUCUAUUGAAAAACUUAAUAUUGAUACUUAUAUUAUAAAUUAGGUUUGCAUUUAUCAUCAUUACACGGACUUCAUUCGUAAAUAUAAAUCAACAUGCAGACUAUCUUAUACAAUCAGGUAUUUCACAUCCAAUAUUUUAUGUAAAUAUUCUUUAUAAAGCCGAAAAAUAUCGGUUUUCACCCCAAAGCUAACUAAACCUUUGAACAGACUUAUUUGAAAAGGAUAAAGUUACGAUACCGUUAUUAAAGAUUGAAUUUUUUAGUAUUAAUGAUGAUUCACUAAUAGGGUCUUUGCAUCGGAAAUAAACACAUCGAUUCUUGGCAUGAUAUGUUCUUCUGAUAUAUUUUUUGAUGGUAUGUUAAUAAACCCCUAACGGGAGGGUUUCUACUUGGUUUUCUUUUGCUUAUAACUUGUUUUAAUUUGAUUAAUGCGAACAGAAUAUUUUACACAUUAUUUCAUAUACAUAUACAAUAUAAGGUAAAUGUCAGAAAAGUAUAAACUUUUUUGUAUGAGGAUUCGAAAAUGUAAAAGGGCGAGGUUCAUUUUUGCGCACAAUACAUAAAGGUUUAUAUUUUUUUGACAUUGACCUAAUAUUGUCUUUAAACUGCAUCUUAAAUCUUACGUUAAUAGCUUUUUAAAUUGUAAAAUUAAUUCUAAACUUAUUUUUAUCCUUUAAGGAACCUCUGAUUGUGGAGAAAGUGUUCCAUGAUGAAAUCGACAUUGCACCAAAUAUAUCUGUGUUACUAUAUUUAGGAAAUAAAUAAAAACUUGUUGCAGUACAAACCAGAUUACGUAAACUAACACGAUAAUUAUUCAAUUUCAGUUUGAAAUAAACAUUUCAUAGUUGUAAUUCUAUGUUUUUAAUAUUCUACUCGUAUAAUAUAAGAUUUUAGUUUGGGACAACUAAACGUGUACGAUUUUUUUUUUUUUUGAUAGUUUGGUUAAGAAGAAAUAUCGACAUAGCUAGAUAAUACAAUUAAUUAUCUAAUUUCUAACACAACUCUCUAUUAAGUAAAUUAUCAUUGUUGUAAUAUAAAUCAAAUACCAUAAUAAAAACUCUGAUAUCAACAGUUUAAAAAUUACCUGUGAAAAAAAGUAAAUCACAAAAAUACUGACCUCAGGGAAAUAAUUUGGAAAGUCAUACACAUGGCAAGAUCAAAUAACAAAACGCAUCAAAACGAAUGGACACGAACUGUCAUAUCAUGAUUGGUACAGACAUUUUUAAAUGUAGAAAAUGGUUGAUUAAACCUGGUUUGAUAGCGCUAAACCUCUCACUUUGAUGACAGUCUCAUCGAAUUUCGUUAUAUUUACAAAGAUGCGUUAACUAAAAUGACACAAUAAAUAAAAUAGUCAAAAUAUGGGUACAGCAGUCAUCAUCUGAUAACAAUUUUAAAAGGAACAAUUUAACAGAAAACAAAAACAUCUAUCUACAAACACAUUCAUUGAUUUGCGUGUCUGACGCCAGAAAAUGUUAUACGUCACAUAUAUUUGUCGUUCAAUGUACAUACAAAAAAAAUUAAAAUUUCACAUAGGCAAUGUUAGCAUACAGGGUUAAAAAAUCAAAAGUAUGUAAGUAUAAAUUUCAGAAAUAGACCGAGAUUUAAAAUAGUCCAAAAGUUAUAUAGAAUUAAGUGACGUCACUUUUGUACCGUAUCUAGUCAAUGACAAUGCAUGCUUAUUUUGUGCUGUUUAAUGUGCUGUCCUAUUUUGUUUAAUGUGGUUUUGGUUUUUUAUUCUGUAUGAAAGGUUACUAAAGGUUAGACAAAUCUGUAUUAAUAGUUAUCAAAGGUACCAGGAUUAUAAUUUAAUACGCCUUACGCUCGUUUCGUCUACAUAAGACUCAUUAGUGACGCUCAGAUCAACAGAGUUAUGAAGCAAAACAAAUACAAAGUUAAAGAGCAUUGAGGAUCCAAAAUUCCAAGAAGUUGUGCCAAAUACGGCCCAGGUAAUCUAUUACUGGGAUAAGAAAUUCCAUAGUUUUUCGAAAAAUUCAAAGUUUUGUAGCAGGAAAUUAUUAAUAAAAAAAAUGACCAUAUAAUUGAUAUUCAUGUCAACACCAAAGUGCUGACUACUGUACUGGUGAUACCCUUGGGGACAAAACGUCCAACAGCAGUGGCAUUGACCCAGUGGUGUAAAUAGUUAUCAAAGGUUCCAGGAUUAUAGUUUAAUACACAAGAAGCGCGUUUCGUCUACAUAAGACGCAUCAGUGACGCUCAGAUCAAAAUAGUUAUAAAUCCAAACAGGUACAAAAUGAAGAGCAAUGAGGACCCAAAAUUCCAAAAAGUAUUAAAAAUAACGCAAAAUAUCUGUCGUAUUAAUAUCCAUCUACUGUAUAUGUCUUCUCCUUUAGAUUUUAUUUCACUUUUUUAAUAUUUUUCAGGUAAUCAUGACGAGCAGUGUAUGACGUGUGAUAAUAAUAAUAUGGUGCAACAAUAUAUCUUAAUAUUUAUGUUGUUUGUGAUUUGGAUCGCGAGACCAAUUCUUUGGACUAUAAACUUUUAUUACAAUUAUUUUACUCAAGAUUAUAUUCCAAGCAUGACACUGUAUAUGGUGUAUAUUUUUUUACUCUUGGAUUUUGGUAUCUUCUACUUGAAAAACUUUUCAUAUUCAUUUACAUGUAACUCUAGGAAUCGACAAAUUCAAAUACCAGAGAAGUGUUGACUACUAUAAUUCAUUGACCUAACUGACCUAAUACAAAUGUACUUAAAUAUUCACACGAGCAAGUGUAAAUAUGAUGUAAUGUGAUUUGCCUCUAUUCAAUUGUGUGUUUAAUCCGAGUUGCGUUAUUUUAUUUACUGCUAUAUGAUUUGAACAAUGUUCUGAUUUGAAAUACCCUUUUUGUGAUCUGCGUAUACUCGCACAUUCAUACAUUGAAACUAAUAUAUUUUUGUCGCUAAAACAUUCGAAAUGCAUUUGACAUGCAUGAUAUAAAAGUUAACAUACCCCACUUCCGUGUUAUGUGGUUGUUUGUUUAGUUAAAUAUAUAUGAUUAAUCAUAUUAUUUAAACAUUUAUUAAAUAAUAUUAUUUGUCAAAUAUAUAUCAAACUUGUUACAUAAUGUUAUUAGUUAAAUAUAUAUCAAACAUGUUACAUAAUAUUAUUAGUUAAAUAUAUAUUAUUGAUAAAUAAAAUUAUUAGUCAAAUAUAUAUAAUUAAUACAUGAAAUUAUUAGUUAAAUAUAUAUUAUUAAUAAAUAAAAUUAUUAUUAAAAUAUAUAUUAUUAAUAAAUGAAAUUAUUACAUGUAGUUAAAUAUGCAUUAAAUAAAAUUAUUAGUAAAAUAUAUAUUAAAUAAAAUUAUAAGACAAAUAAAAGCACUAUUUACAUGAUUUAUUCAAUUCCAUUCGUUUGAAGUGUUUUAUCAUUUGAUUUUGCCAUUUGAAUAGGGACUUUCCGUUCAGUAUUUUUGUGACUGUACUUUUUUCAACUGAUUUGGAAACGUUUCAUAAAUAUUAAACUUAGUAAUUUAACUGCUUGUUAAGUACAAGUUUCUUUUUACAUAUAUGAUAUAUUAUGUAAAUUGAAAUGAAAUAUGUUAAUCAUAAUUCUGAGCCAACAAUCUGUAACAAUUACAACAAAAAAGUAGAUAUUGAUUAUUAUAAUGAGUAAAUUGAGAUGUAAAGAAGAAGAAAGAUGUAAUACGUGCAAUUUUUCAUGUAGAAUGUAUCAUCUUUAGUAAUCUUUCAUAACAUAUUAAAAAUAAGACAAAAUCGAGUUAUUUAUCUUAUUUUCAUUAUAAAUAUCACAAAAAUUAAGAUUUUUUGAAUUUGUGUUUUUAAAUUUGCAGAAAAUAUAUUUCAAACUGAAAUUUAAUACAUAAUCAUGCUAGCUAGAUAUAGGAAGAUGUGGUGUGAGUGCCAAUGAGACAACUCUCCAUCCAAAUAACAAUGUAUAAAAGUAAACCAUUAUUGUUCAAUGUAUGGCCUUCAACACGGAGCCUUGGCUCACACCGAACAACAGGCUAUAAAAGGCCCCAAAAUUACUAGUGUAAAACCAUUCAAACGGGAAAACCAAUGGUCUAAUAGCUAGUUUAUUUUAUUUUGUGUAUAUGAAAACGUGGUACAGUUAUUGGUUUUAUUGUUAAAGCGAUAAAGUAACUUAACCAGUGAAAUGAAAACUGGGUCAAUAACACACUCAAUACUACCUUUGACAGCCCUGUCUUCACCCGUAAAAUUGAGAUCAUUGAAACUUUAUAGGUGAACAGUUGUUAAAUUAUUGCACGUUAACAACUUUAUAUGUAAUUUUGAAAUCAAUUAAGUAUUAGAUAAAAUACAAAGGUAACAAAGAAACAGGCCGGUAACAACCGUUGCCGGAUAGUUUUUCUGCACGAGUAGUCAGGUCAAGGUCCGAGGCGAUAGCCGAGGACCUUGACCUGACUACAAGUGCAGAAAAACUAUUCGGCUGGUUGUUACCGGCCUGUUUCUUUUGUUACUUUUGUUUUUUAUCUGACUUGUACGACGUUUGUAAGAAAGUAAUAAUACAUUUUGCAAGACUAAACAUUUGAGAAAUUUAGAUAGCCAUAAAGCAGUAAAUGUAAGUUAUAGUAUAAACACCUUUUUUUUCAUUUCCCUUCAAUCGAGAUUUUUUUUCAAGAAAAAAAAAAUCAGGAAUCUAAUAAUUUGAUAUAAAAAGAACCGUUUCAAGUAAAAGAUUAAAACUUUUUAAAAUGCAACUUCGUGAAAAAGUAGUAUAUUAAAGAAAUAUUUUAGUGGUAAGUAGGAUAACGUUUGAUUUUUAUGGAUGAAACGGAAAGCGGGAGGGGGAGGGGCUAAUUCAUUUUAAAAAUAACAGGCUGUGAUCUUUUUUUUUAAUGAAAAAAUGCAGGAUGUGCCAUUCCAUCCGCCCAUCCCCCCUUAAAAAAAAAUCGUAAAAAUCGAACGUUUGUUGCCAAAUACAUGAAUUUAAUAUUCAGUGGUGGGGGUCCCGGGGUUGGAACACCCCUUUUUUGCAUGAUCAAUGCAUUUAAAUGGGGACAUAAAGUUGGCCCCCCUUCCCCCUAUUUUGUCCUGGCCGAUGAUUUGGACCUGGAUCCGCCACUGAUAUAAAUUCGAUAACAAUAUAAAUGUAUCAAAAGAAUGAAUUUCCUUCUUCAUUAGUGAAUGAAAUGUUUAUGAAAAAAUGGAUUUUGUGUUUGGAUUUUAUCUUAAUAUUAUAUUUGGGCAUAUACUUUAAUUUUUUUUUAAUUCAUGCUCGUCUAUAGAUCUGCAAGUGUUGAUCGGGAAUAAACACGUGUUACAUUAUGAUCAAAUCGCAGCUUACCGCCCACAAUUGAUGACUUAGUUGAAUGAUUUUCUUCUAGAUUUGCAGCUUAUUUUGACGUGUAUUACAUGAACACUUUUUGUUUAUAGGAUCAAUCGUGUUUUGGUGAGUUGAUAGGGAUUUUAUCUUUUGAAAAGAUUUGAUUUUUAUUUACUUAUUUCUUGUCUUAUUUUUAUUGAAAUAUACACGUCAGUAUCAUAAUUUCUUUACUUUCAACAUUGUCCAAAAUACUAUUCAUAUCCAUAUAUUGAAGAAAACAUUUAUUGACCGAAUAUUUUCUUCAUAAAGGGGGCGGUAUGUUCUAUUUUGAGAAUAUUAACUAUUUACUUUUCAAAGCCAUCCCCCAUUUUUUUUUUUGUUUAAAUUAUCACUAUUUACGGUAUUCGGAAAAUUAGGAAUCGUGCAAAACAUUAAUUUUUCAUCUGCUUGACCAUACUAAUUUUUUUCUCAUACAAUUUGGGAUCAAAAUAUCUUUUUUAGGAGAUAGCCAUACCCCCCCUUUUUUGAAGUUAAAUGUCUAAUCCCUUAGUGUACUGAUAUGAAUAGUAUUUUACUGGAAAUGUUUGAAAAAGAUAUUAAUGCUAACGUAAAUAUUUUGUUCAAUAAAAAUACAGGAAAUAUGUCGGUUAACCAAAAAGUUCAAAUCUAAUUGAAAGUUAAAGUGCCCAUGAACUCACUGAUCAUGCACGAGUGAUUCUAUUCAUAAAAAGUGUCCGUGUAACAACUAAAAAGAGUCCGUGUGUCAUCUAAAAAGAGUCCGUGUAACACCCGUUAAUGUAUUGUUUUUCUUCAGCUCUGCGGGGGGCAAAGUCGUACAAGGACCUUUACCUUUACAAAAGCAUAGAUAUAUUACAUUUGUAUAUUUAUAAUUUCCUGUUCUGAUAAUCUAUGCAUGUAAUAUUUGCCACUUGACCAUAAACCAUAAUAUCAUCAUCAUCAUCAUUGACCAAGCAAUAAACACAUCAAAGUUAUUAGACGAAUUGCUUUUGUUGUGUUCAAAUUUAUGUAUACAUUUUAUUCAAAAAAUAUUCAUUAUAAACAUUUUUAUUACAUAUAAUUUAUAUGCAUGUAAGUCUUAAGCGUCAACUGCAUGAUCAAUAAAUUCGUCGAUGUACCGAAACCUGUUACAUUAUGAAAAUGAAAAAAAAAAAACUUUUUGUAGAAUAUGAUUAUAAAACUGAUUUAAGACGGCAGGUUAUACAAUGUUGUAAACCUGACACAUCACAAAUAUUCUUUUUUAUAUAAAAUAGUAAAAUUUAUGUGAGAUCCCGGUUGAUAAUUGCUUGACAUACAACAUGCACAAUGGGUAACAUAUUGUGCAUAAAAAAUUUAUGACAUUUAUUAUUAACUAUGUAGUAACAAUACAAAUAAAUUUAACUAGAAAACUCUAUGCUUGAAUUGGAUUUUGAACACUUCCUUUUUCACGGUACCAGGGAGACUGGAAUCUAUACAUCUUAAUGUCCAGUACGAUCAAUCUCAAAUCGUGUAUAUUCAAGACAACAACAUAUUAUAAUUUCGUACUUUGUACUUGAUCGAAAAAUUACUGUGGAUUUUCAAUGUGUUUGCUUACUAGAUAAUAAUUCUCCGGGAAAUAUUGGAAUCGACUUAUUAGCUGACACAUUAGUCUUACUCCAAACUUUUCAAAAUGUUACUUUGACUGUAAUGAACCAAUCAGCAAUCCUCGGGUGAAUCCGGUACUCUCCGUCUGUAUCAAGGUACGGAAUCAGCCGAGUUGUGACGGAUGUGUAUGAACGUUCUAAGGUAAUCAAACGGCAAGAUGUUCCGUGAUCUGGAUAUUAAAAUUUUCAGGGUCUUGAAAUCUCUACUGAUAUAACUGAGUUCUGACUUAUUGUCUUAUUAAAGUGAAAUUAUAUCAGUAUUCAAGCCAUAACAAGAGGGAAAAGAAAAAAAAUGUCCGAUUUUUCAUCAAUCAUCUCGUCCAGUAGUGUCUUUCAAUAUUUCCAACUGUCGAGUAUUGCUUUGACUAUGGUAUUUGGAAUAAUCAUAUUGAUAGCACUUCCGAUCAAAUUUUUGAAGCAAAAUCACAAAUUUUCAAACAGUUUAUUUCUUGUUUUGUUAUUUGGAUUUUUUCAUGAAAGCUUUGCGUUCAUGACCUGGCUUAAAUCAACAUAUCAAUUAUAUGGAAUCAGUCCAUUCGUAUUAGAUAGCUACUCAUUUCCCGUCGCCUGUUUUGUUCUUACACUUGGCGUAAUAUCUAUGACAGAAUGGUCAAAAGAGGAAGUAAGAACCAGACUCAGAACAUUUAUAUAUGGAGUUUACAUAUCUUUAGUAUUGCUUCUAGUUAUCAUAAUGGGAGUUUGUCACAGCUUUAGCAGCCAUCAUCACAACAAUGAGUUCCACAAGUCUGACUUAUUCUAUUCUGAAUACGCUGUAAAACAAACAGAUGAGAAUAUACUGAGAGGACUUUUAUUUAUGGUUAAAUACAACAGUUGUUUUGUAUGCUGUGUUUUGGAAUAUGGUUUAGUUUAUGUUCCUGUCACCUUUAUCCUGCUCUGGAACGUAACGACAUGCGUGCCUAGUGGACAACAAGGUAACUUAGUGUAUAAUUCCGAGUUUUGUGAUUUUGAUUUAAAACAUAUUUUAUUCAUUAAGGGCAUACGAUACAGUUUUGAUCCCGUAUUUACAGUUUGAUGAAAAUUUCCAUAUAGGCUAUUUUUUGCAUGAUUAAAUUAAAUAUGUAAUAAAAAUAUAUACUUUCAUGUGCUACUUUUUGAGUUAAAUGAGGUCGAAAUUUUGUAUAUUUGCUCAAAAUUUGAAUUUGUGGCCGUAUUUUUAUUUUCGAAAGAAAGCCAAAACUUUUUUUGUUUUAAAAGAUAAAUACAAAUUGUAUUUUUGUUAAAUAAUUUGUAAUUUUUUAUUUUAUAAGUAUCCUAGAAAUUUAUGCAUUUUUUAUUCAGAAAUAACUCAUAUUUUCAAACGGUCGUGAAUUUAGGAAAAAAACGUCAUUUUUUGCUGUAUAUUUAUCAAAAUUAAAAAAAUUGCGCUAUUUACAGUUUUAUAAAAUUGAGUCCACAUAAUCUCCCUGCAAAAUGAAACAAAAUAUUGUUUUAAAAAAUGGGGGUCCAUGCACUCGUUAUCAAAUUAAAUCAGUUUGAAUGAUGAAAUUCAGUGGAAAAAUGCAUCUUUUCCCGACGUCACAGUUUGACGUCGCCAAAAUAACAUUUUACGUUAGCAACGUCAUUACCUCCCUUGUAAAUGUAUCUUAUGCCCUGAAGAUAUGAAAGGGAUUGAGCAACAUGCGUAGCCUUUAAAAGCAUUCUCCAAGUUUUGUGAGGUUGAUGACUCGCUCAUUAUUUGAUAAAAACCUAAUGAGUAAAUUUUUCUGAUAAUCCACAAAGGCUUUUACAUACUGAUAAAGGGGCUUCCUUCAAUUGGAAAAGGCAUACGUCUUUGCAUUUCCUUCAAACUACACGAUGUUUACAUGUUGAACAUUAAAACUUUCAGCCUGAAAACCAAUUACAAAAAAUUACAAAAAAUACAUAAACUUUUCUUUUAUUUAUGCAGAAACUAAAUUUUGUUUUAAAUAAGAUACUUCGUGAAGUAAUCUGAUUACAAACAGUUUAGCCUAUUUAAUUGUUACAUGUUGUUUUUAAAGUUUGUAAAUAACGUUAAAAUUAAAAAAAAAAAACACACACAAAAAACGAACUCCGAGGAAAAGUUAAAAGAGAAAGUCCCUUAUCAAAUGGCAAGGGCAAAGGCUCAAACAUGUCAAACGAAUGGAUAACAACUGUAAUAUAUUCCUUACUUGGUACAGGCAUGUCUUAUGUAGAAAAUGGCGAAUAAGACUGGGCUUUAUAGCUAACUAAACCAUUUAUUUGUGUGACGGUCGUAUGAAAUUCCAUUAUCUUGACAAUCCAUAUAAACAUAUAGAUCCAUUGACUAAAAAGUAAAACCACAAAAAUACCGAACUUAACACUGAUCUAACAAGUAAGUCAUGCCUCUUCCAGUGAUCAUUUAAAAAAUAAUUUGUUUUUGUAUUUGGUUAAUUGAUCACUGUUCACAGUUAAUAUGGCAGGCUGGAAAGGGGAUAGUCCACUAGCAUGUGAGAAAAAACUAAUGAUUUUAGUUUCCGCCAAACGUGCCGCUGGCGACAACGGUUGUUGAAUGUGUGAUUGUGUCGGGUAAACGGAAACUGCUUAAGGUAAAAAUAGUGACUGAUAGUAGCACUGACGCACUUAUUUUCAUGGAGAUUAUUUGGUCCUUUGUCAAGGUGUUGUGACGUUUGAUAUAUUUAUUUUUUUUAUGAUAAUAUUGAGAGAACUCAUAUGAUUAACUGUCAACUUUAAUAAAAGAAAUGAACAAACUGUGUUAAUAGAAUAAGAGUGUCCGUUAUGUAGUUCAAACACAACCCCUGUUUCCGUUGUACUGAUCAAUAACAGUGUGUGUCUUACUGUUUAGAAUCGAUUAGGAAUAAAUGUAUAUUGUAUAUUUAGAAAAUGUAUUGUGAAUCCGUGAUAUAUUGCUGAUAUCUGAAAAAGCCUGUACCAGGUAAAGAAUAUGACAGUUAAUAUCUAUUCGUUUAAUGAGCUUUAGCUUUUGAUUUUGCCAUGUGAUUAAGGACUUUCCUUUUUGAAGUUUCCACCGAGUUUUUGUUAGUGAUUUUUGUUUUUAAUGAACUUUAUACCAAAAACAACAUCUCGCUUUUUUUUGGUGAUUUUGAUAGUGUAAUACAAAUGCAUUGAAGUUCAAAUUCUCGUUGAGGCGAGACUAUGGUCAAGUAUUUUAUGUUUCUUUUUUCAUACAAGUAAUAUAUACAUGUUCUUCUAAAUUUAUUACAUGAAACAUCUAUUAACAAAAUGUUGAUACGUGAAUCUUGUACACAUCACACCCGCGACAAAAUAUGUUGCAAGAUCGGCAAAGACUUAUGUUUACUAAUUUUCCACCAGCAAAUAUAUAUACAACUCCAAUGUAUGUCCCCAUUGUAUCUUGAUUGACCUCUGUCAGGCCUGCAUCACCAUCAGUGUAUGACGUGUGACAAAAAUGUUAUGGUACACAGAUACAACUUGUUGUUCAUGAUGUGUGUUAUUUGGAUCGUGAGACCAAUUGUUUGGAUUAUCAACUUCCGGUACACUUUUUUUGUCACAAGAUAUAACUUCAAGCAUUGCAAUUUACAUUGUGUAUAUGACUAUACUAUGGCAGUUUCUAGAAGAAAGGUUUGAUAAAAAUAAUUGCAUCAAUCAUAGCUGCAAUCACAGAUUAAAUGACUUGUUUGGAUCAGAAAAGCAAAAACAUCCGAUCCUUCUAUAAACCUAUCAAUUGUUUAUUAAAAAUUAAAAUAAGAAUUUGUAGUUUUAAUUUUUACACUUUCCAAAAUUUAGCAAGAGGUUGCUUUAACGUCUAAUGGACUUUUACAAACUUGUUUGUCACUUAGUGACGCCAGAGAUAAGUUCAAAUUGAACUAAACAUGUGGAAAAUGAUCGUUCGUGAAGUAGAGGCAUCAUGCAUCAAUUGGUUACUGAAAUUAAUCUGCGAAUAUGUAACUUUUAUUGUAUACUGAUUCCUGAAGCACAAAAACUGUAUUUGCAUCAACCUAAUCAUUAAAGAUACUACUCGUAUUAAUAUUCUGAAACAGAGGCUGUAAAGAUGGCAACACACCAUGUUCUUAUUCCUCUUAAAACCAAUUGAACGCCAAGAAGGUAAAUAACUCUUGGACCGCAAUAGUUAGAUUUAAAAGUAGAACAGAUUUAAAAAUGUUCAUCUUUUCAUCUAUCAUCUUGUUCAGAAGCAUCUUUUCAACUGUUCUGCAUUGCUAUGACAUUGGUUUUUGGAUUGCUGAUAUUGAUAGUUCUUCCGUUGGAUUUUUGUUACGCAUAAGCACAAACUUUCAAACAGUUUAUUUCUUGUUUUGUUAAUCAGAUUUUUUCAUGAAAGCUUUGCGUCCAUGACCUGGCUAAAAUCAACAUAUCAUUUAUAUGGCAUUAGUCCUUUCUUGUUCAAUAGCUACACAUUUCCCGUCGCCUGUUUCAUAUUAACACUUGGUGUAAUUUCCAUGACAGAAUGUUCAAAAGAGGAAUUACGAACAAGUACGUUUGUGUAGGGAGUUUACAUAUCUAUGGUUUUGCUACUAGUUUUUGGAAUGGGAGUUGUUAACAGCUUUAGCAACCAACAUGCACAUCACAACGUGAAGUUCCACAAACCUAACUUUUUCUUUACUGAUUACGAAGUAAAACGAAAAGGUUGGUCAUUUGACAAGAUGCUGACAGAACUAUUAUAUGUGUUGAAAUAUAACAUCUCCUUUGUGUGUUAUACAUUGGAAUACGUUUUAGUUUAUGCUCUUGUCACUGUAAUCCUGCUCUGCAAUUAAAAGAAAUGGUUGACCAGUGGUCAACAAGGUAAAUAAGUGUAUUAUUCCGAGUUCUGUGAUGUCAGAAAUAUGUUCAUAACUCGCUCGCAAUUUGUUAAACACUUAAUGUGUAUAAUUAUUGGACUUAUCAGAAUUCAUAAAAGCCUUCAAAUAUUGAUAGUGGGGUUUCUUUCAAUUGGAAAAGGCAAACGUCUUUGUAUUUAUUUAUUUUUUUCGCUAUUCGAUGUUUACUUAUUGAAUUUUAAUAUCUUCAGCCUUUCAUGGUUUUCAUUACCUCUAAAGAGUCAUGUUUUUUCAGCUAUGAUUUUAACAUUUUUUUCUUUUAUUGGGUUAAUAAACCACUGUUCACAGUUAAUAUGGGGAGCUGGGAAGGGGGAUAGUUCACUGACAUGUGAUAAAAGACUAAGGAGUUUUGUGGAUUCAACGAUUGUAGGAAUAUGAGAUUGUGUCUGCUAAAUGGGAACCAAUUAAGUCAUUAAUAAGUAGCAUUGACCCGCUUAUUUUCAUGGAGAUUAGUUGGUCCUUUCACAUAGUCGUUCUUUACCCUCAGUCAAGGUCAUUUGACGUUGAGUUAAAUUUAACUUUUCUAUGAUUAUAUUGAAAUUACACACAGGAGGAACUUAUAUACGUUAUAUUAUGUAACAUUUGAUAAAAAAUAUGAACACUGUGUUAUUAAUAGAAUUAGAGUUUAUUUUCUGUACGUCAUACACAACCGAUGUUGCCGAAGUACUGAUCAAUACCAAUAAUUUUAAUGUAAUGUAUUCUAUGUUUAGAAUCGAUUAGAAAUAAAACUAUAUUUCAUAUACAGAAAAUAUAUUGUAAAUCCUUUGUACACUGAAUUAAGGAGCCGUUGACACAGAAUUAUGUUUCGCCUUCAGGUAAUUUUGAAAGUGUAAUAAAAUAUUAAAAUCAAAAGACCAACCCUGUUAGAUAUAAAUUAUGCAAAACCUACAAAGUAGAUGAAUAUGAUAAACUAAUCUUCAUAAAACGUGGAUAUUUCGAUGAUAUGAAUAUAAAUGCAUAUUAUAUAUUAUUGUAAGAGACUACCCCAGAACUGACCCUACAUGUUAAUUAUGCAAUAGUUUCAAAUUCAAGGAACCAUGAGCGAGGGACUGGGUUAUUAAAUCUUCAUGGAAAUGAUAUGUGCAACACCAAUACAACAUAAAACCAAAUAUCAUUAAUUUUCCAUUAAUGAUUUCCCAAAACUGACUAUCACAAACUGUUAAAUACUGUUGACGCCAUCGCUCCCACCGGAAACCGGCUUCCAUGUUUUUUGUUGAGGAAAGACAAGGAUCAAAACCUUUGUAUUUGUUCACACUUGUGAAAUAAACAUAUUACUUUUAAUUUAUUUAAUGCAAAAAAAUAUUAGCAUAAUGUGAUAUGUUGAUACAUCAAUCUUAUACACCUCACAAUUUUUGCAUACGCCAAAUACAUAUUACCUAUUGCUUAUAGUAUCUAAGACAAACAACUAUUCACGAAAAUAUCACACUGACAAAGAACCAUGAACAUGACGUCAAAUAACCCUGUCAACUGGUCAUGUACAACUAGAAAUCAUUCCAUAUAGCUGACCUACUGGUUACUGUAUCCGAUAAACGGGACUAAUCGGGAAACUAAAUAUUUACCAGUGAACCAUAACAAUGAGGUCAAGGUCAGAUGAACACUACAUGCUUGAAAUGUACAACUCACACUGAUUGCAUAUACCAUAUGUAGUUGACGUACUUCUUAAAGAAUUAGGGAAACUGAUCUAAUCAAGAAAAAUUGAUGUUGAUUAUUGCAAUAAUGAAAUUGAAGUAAUGGUAAGAUUAACACUGUGGACUAUACAUGACACAUUAAACUUAUCCCAAACACCACAAAAUAGUAGACCUAUUGAUAAAAGUAUCUGACAAUAAAAUCAAAAAAGUUAAACAGGUUUAAAAGGCCAAAAUAAAGUACGAAGUUGGAGAGCAGAAAGGACCAAAAGUUCCGAAAGGUUUUGCCAAAUACAGCUAAGGUAAUCUAGAUACUUGCCUAAUCAUGAAAACUUGACAAAUGAACCAUGAUAAUGCAGCCAGAUGAACGCUGUCAAAUGGACAUGCACACCCUAAAAAAUUUUAAUGCACAGAAUAAAGUAAAUCUACUGCUAAUAGAUUGUGAGUAACCAACCUUAUCAUGAAAUCUAUAUAAUUUAUAAAUGAGCCCUGAAUUGAGGUCAAGGCAGGAUGAAUCGUGCUAGACAGACAUGUUCCAGAUACAAUCUAUGGCUGACGUGUGACAAUAAUGUUAUGGUAUAAAAGAGGGACGAAAGAUACCAAAGGGACAGUCAAACUCAAUAAUCUAAAAUAAACUGACAACGCCAUGGCUAAAAAUGAAAAAGACAAACAGACAAACAAUAGUACACAUGACACAACAUAGAUAACUAAAGAAUAAACAACACGAACCCAACCACAAACUAGGGGUGAUCUCAGGUGCUCUGGAAGGGUAAGCAGAUCCUACUUCACAUGUGGCACCCGUCGUGUUGCUUAUGUGAUAACAAAUCCGGUAAAUAGUCCAAUUCGGUAGGUCACAUUCAUGAAAGGGAAGGGGAUUGUAGUUACGACGUAAUGAACAUAUCCGAUGCACAACGGUACAUCUUAAUAAUUAUGAUGUUUGUUCUUUGGAUUGUGAGACCAAUUUGUUGGAUCAUCAACUUUCGUUUCACUUUUUUGUCACAUGAUUUAAUUCCAAGCCUUACAGUGUACACUGAUUUCAUUCAUUAUAGCGGUAAGCACAGAUCACAUGACUUUCUUGGAUAAAAAAGCAGGAAUAUAUUAAAGGUAAAGAAAAGGCAGUUUUUUGUUUUUAUACUUUCCAACAUUUAGUCCGACAUUGCUCUUAUGUAGAAUGGCAUUUUAAGAACUUGUUUGUGACGUCAGACAUCAAAGAUAGGUUCAUAUUUCACUUCAAAGGCAGAAAAGAACCUUUAUGAAGUGAAUAAAUCAUACAUCCUUUUACUCCUUUAGUUAUAUUCUACUCUACAAAUAUGUAACUUUUAUUUACAUACUGACCAAAGAAGCACAAACGGAAAACUUAAUUUUUAUCAACCUAUUCAUUGGAACAGUAACUCGUUUUAUCCUUCAAAAACAGAGGCUGUCAAAAGGACAGAUAACCGGGUUCUUAAUACAUUAUUUAAGUCAAUUUGAAGCAAACAAGAAAAAUAACUCUCGAACCGCAAUAGUAAGGUUUGUCACCAGUAAAUAUAAAUCAAAGUUUAAAAAUUCAUGAAGGAACAUUCUCAUUGUAUUGCAGAGAAACGAGUUGAAGUUCCCCUUUUCAAUCAAACAAGGACCAUAACGUUUGAAAAAGAAAAAGGUAAAAAUCGUCCAAAAUCAAACUUGACCUUAAUUUCUUCAAUACAUGUAGUAACAACAUAUUAAAAUUAUAAGGACAGGUUUAAGUGUUCCCAAGAGUGCUAGAGUACGUAGUGGGUCAAACCAAAGACUUUAAAAUUGGUAUGUGCUCCUUCUUCGCUACAAAUGCGUCAUUAUAGAGGAAAAAGGAAAGACUUGUCGUGACCAAAUCAAAUCAUAAAACCAAACAAAAAACUUUCCAAGACUUAAACGUUCAAUAAACCUUAAACUCAUAGUAAAUUGAAAUAUCACCUCCUUUGUCAGCUGAAAUCGACAUAAACACGUCUUGUCAUGAUUCUUUUAUGCUUAAAUAUCCAGUUUUAUAUGCAAAUGAUACUAGAAGCCACUUUUUAUUCAAUACAAAAAAUUGAGAUUUUUUUUCUGUUUCAUUUUGUCUGAUUUCUAUUCCACACAAUUAGCAGAUUCAGAAAUAAUAAUGAAGUAGAAAAUUGAAUAAUCUAACAUGUUUUAAGUUCACAUGUCAUUUUAAAUACAUGAUUUAUGUAAGUUUGAAAUAAAAUAUGUUAUAUGUAUAAUCCAGAGCCAAGAGAUUCGUCACAAUUAUAACAAACAAGCUGUUUAUUACAGUUAUCAGUUAACGCAAUGAAGGAUCUUAACCCCGAUCGGAAAAGUAUGCCAAUAUCACACUAAAUCUCAACUCUGUCGUCAUCUCUAGUAAUGAUAUCAAUAAAAAAAUAUGGAUGAAUAGUUUUCAACUUAUUGCACGGAAUCAAUUUUAAAUGCCAUUUCUAAAUCAAUCAAGGACCAUCUCAAAAGCAUAUGUUUACAUUACAUUUACAUUUUCUCGUCCAGAUAAUAUAUGCAUGAUAUAUUUGCCACUUGAUAUUAAACAAUAAUAUCGUCAUCGUUUUCGUUGACCAAGCAAUAAAGAUAUCAAAGUUAAACGUAUCGCUUUUGUUGUGUUCAAAUUCAUGUAUAUUCAUUUUGAUUGAGUCAAGACAUUUCAAUUUAUAUUUUAUAGUGUGUCUUUUUAUGCUGUAAUGUUACACUACUAUGUCAGGUUAGUGUAAAGGUUGGUACCUGUUAAAACGUUUAAAAACCGCUGCAUUUGUUUGCACCUGUCAAAAGUCAGGAACCUGUUUCAGUGGUUGUCAUAUGUUGAUGUGGUUCUUAAGUGUUUCUCGUUUCUCGUUUUUUAUAUAUAUUCCCUGUUUGAAUUGUUCUACACUAGUCAUUGUGGGGCCCUUUAUAGCUUGCUAUUCGGUGUGAGCUAAGGCUCCAUGUUGAAGGCCGUACUUUGACCUAUAAUUGUUUACUUUUUACACAUUGUGACUUACAUUAUGUACAUCAUGUACAUGGAGAGUUUUUUAUUUGCACUCAUACCACAUCUUCUUAUUUCUAUAAACAUUUUACCAAUUAAUGUUAAAAUUAUCCUUCACAAUUAUUUUUAUAACACAUUUAUAUGUAGGUUUUAAGCUACCAAAUUUAUGAUCAAUAAAUUCCUCGCUCCAUCGAUGUAACAAAGCUGUUGGAUUAUUAAAAUGAGUAAAUUAAUGUAGAAUAUAAUUUGAAUUUAUUCAUGGAUGAAAGAUCGCAAAACUGUUUAAAACGGGAAGUUACAUAACUUGUAAUCUGGCAUAUGAUCAACCCAUUUCUUUUCAUUAUAAAAUAAUGCAAAUGAGUGAUUGGUAAUUUCCUGACAUCCUGUUGUAAAGAUGUAAUGCAUAUGUAGGAAGAUAACGUGUUAUUACCAUAACAAUACAUUUAACUAGAGAAAGACGAUGCCUGAAUUUGAUUUUUAAAACUUUUCUUUUUCACGGUAAAUGUUCACUGUAAUAGUUUUCACCCAACACUUCCUGAGUCCAGCAGGACAUAUCUUAUAUGGUUUAUAUCCAGGACAACAUCAUAUUAAUAUACCGUACUUUGUACUAGACUGACAGCUAACUGCGUGUUUGAUAAGUAGGUAACAGUUCCCGGGAAAAUAUUGGAACCUACCUGGACACAUUAUUCUUACUCCAAACUAACCAAAUUUAAGUUAACUGUUACCGACGUUCUAAAUUAAUUCAUCAGCAAGAGUUUCCGUAAGCUGGAUAUAAAACGUGUCAGUGCGUUAAAAUUUGUACUGAUAUAACUGUGCUCUGACUUAUAGUAUAAUUAAUUAAAUUUAGAUCAAGUCAUAACAAGGGGGGAUUGAAAGAACAACAGAUUUAAAAUGUUCAUCUUUUCAUCAGUCAUCUCGAGCGGUGUCAUACCACCAAUUACUCCCUCAAAUUUAGAACGUAUGUGAAAGUAGGCCUACUCGGACAAAAAAAAGUGCAUUUGAUGUCAUUGUUCACUUAAACUAACUAACAAAUUUGCAGAAAUGAAAGUUUUGUUGAAAGAGAAAUAUAUUAAGACCAUUUUGAGCCAAAAUUUACCUGUCUAUGAGUUUGCAUUAAAAAUUGAGGAUUAAUGCGCUCCAUAGUAUACUAAUUUAAGAUUUCCAGAAAACCAGGGGUUAUUUUUAGUGGUACCUCCUUUCGGAAGCUCUCUGCUUUCUUAUAUGAUUUUGAAUGUAUAUUGAAAAUUGGCAUGCAGAAAGGUGACACCUGUACAAUUCUGGAUAUACCUAGUUUCUAUGAAGUUAAACUUAAGGUAAAAUAUUUAGAAAGCUGUAAAAAUUGCAAUAUUUGGUUGAACAGAUAGGGACUUUUAAUUGGUGGUAUGACACCAGAAGCGUCUUUCAAUGUUUUCAACUGGCCGGCAUUGCUUUGACUCUUGUUUUUGGAAUGCUGAUAUUGAUAGCACUCCCGUUGAAAUUUUUGAAGCAUAAUCCCAAACUUUCAAACAGUCUAUUUCUUGUUUUGUUAAUCGGAUUUUUUAAUGAAAGCUUUGCUUCCUUGACCACCUGGCUUAAAUCAACAUAUCAUUUAUAUGGCAUAAGUCCUUUUGUGUUAGAUAGCUACACAUUCCCCGUCUUUUGUUUUAUAUUUACAUUUGGUGUAUUGUGUAUGACAAAAUGUUCAAAAGAGGAGUUACGAACAAAUACAUUUGUAUAUGGAGUUUACAUAUUUAUAGUUUUGCUACUAAUUUUUGGAAAGGGAGUUGUUAACAACUUUAGCAACCAACAUGCAAUUCACAUUGUGAAGUUCCACAAACCUAACUUUUUUCUUUACUGAUAACGAAGUAAAACGAGACGGUUGGUCAUUAGACAAGAUGCGAACAGAACUAGUAUAUGUGUUGAAAUACAACAGGUCGUUUGUUUGUUAUGUGUUGGAAUAUGUUUUAGUCUAUGCUCCGGUAACUUUAAUCCUGAUGUGGAACGUAAUGAACUUGGUGUCACGUGGUCAAGAAGGUAAACUAGUGUAUUAUUCCUAAUUCGGAGACGUUGCUGAUUAAGACAGGCACAACAUAAUACAUAUCAGUCUUAUUGAUAUUUUUCUUUUCCUUUUGUUCAGACUGAAAUCAGUUGAUGAAAAGCUGGCAAAUGAUUAGAAAUUUAAUGCAUAUCAAUAUUGGAUUAAUCGGAAUCAAGAAUUGCCUUCCAAUAUUGAUAUAUGGAUUUCUUUCAAUUGAAAAGGGCUUCAUUCGCAUUAUUUUUCGCUACCUAUGUUUCUUUUGAAUUUUCAGCCGUUGAUGCAUUUCAUUACCCCCCCCCCCCCCCCCAAAAAAAAACAACUUUUCUGCCAUACAUGAAGAUACAGAUAUUUUGUUCGAAAGUAUGACAGUUCAUGUAGCAUUGACACAAUGACGAUUUUUGGUAUUCACUACGUGCUAAAGGACCACAGUGAUGUAAAGAUAAUCGAAGUUGAAGAAAGUUUAGACUUUUAAUUUCGAUAUAGUUGGACAUGUCACCGGUUUCAAGGGUGACAAACAACUAAUUCAUUUAAUGAAAACAUAUGUUAUUAUAAUAAAAAUACUUAGCAACAAAUAAAACUUGAGUUUAAUGUGCUGUCAUAAUAAGUGAAAAAUGUAAUGGCUUAAUUGUCAGCAUCCAUAACAAUUCAAUUCAUAUGAUGUGUAAAUAUAAAAGAAUAUGUGGUAUGAUUACCAAUGAGACAACUCUCCACAAGAGAUCAAAUGACACAGAAAUGUACAACUAUAGGUCACCGUAGUGUACUUGUCCGUAUAGAGAAAAGCGGAUUAACACCUAAAACGAAUACUAGCAUUAGGGAUGAACGAAUGGAUUAGAGAUAAUUGACUUAUUUACAUUUCUCAUACAACGACUGACAUGUUAACAGAAAAUCCCAAAUAUAAAACUAAAAACAAAUAAUUAUAGAAACACGUCAUGUUACACUAUGAUAACUAUCUGAUUUCAAACAGAAUAGCACAGCACAUCUUAAUUGUGACGUUUUUAUUGUGUAUAGUGUCGUGAAUUAUAGGCGUGGUAAGAUCUUUGAAUGGUGUCUUUAAUGUCUUUAUGAAUACUAAAAUGGAUUUUAUUUUUCCAAUUGUUAAAUAAGUAACAAAUCAUGAAUUCUCACCUCGUUUAAAACUUAUUGUCCUACAUAUUCAUUCUGUCUAUAUUUAUAUUUUGGUAUUGCCAAGUCAUGCAUGGCCGUACGGUGACCUAUAGUUAUUAAUUUCUGUGUCAUUUGGUCUCUUGUGGAGAGUUGUCAUAUUGGCAAUCAUAUCACAUCUUCUUUUUAUAUUUCUCAGGCUGCUAUUGACAUCUUUACACUGAAUCCUUGCGAGAUGUACUGAUUGAUAUUUUCGUCUGGACGAACAUGCAUUCGUCUCAACUCGGCCGAUUCCGUACCCUCAUCUAACAAGGAGAGUAGCGGAUUCUACCGAGGAUUGCCGAAUGGACGAACAUGGUUUAUCUAUCACUUGAAAUAGGAUUGCAGUAAAUUCGAGUACCUUUAGAUUAUUGCUCUGUUUCUGUAUCUUCUUGUUUUGCUUUGUUUAUGUGGUUGGUGCUGAUUUGAAAAUGCCUUUUCAACUGAUCAUUUUAACAAUUUGUUCUUUUAUUGGAUUAAUACAUAAACUCAUCAUAGAUACCAGGACUAAAUUUAGUAUAUACGCCAGACGCGCGUUGCGUCUACAAAAGACUCAUCAGUGACGCUGGAAUCCAAAAAAGUUAAAAAGGCCAAAUAAAAUAAGAAGUUGAAGAGCUAGAGGACCAAAAUUCCUAAAAGAUUUGCCAAAUACAGCUAAGGUAAUCUAUUCCUGAGGUAGAAAAGCCUUAGUAUUUAAAAAAAAAUCCAAAAUUUGUAAACAGUAAAUUUAUAGAUAUAACCAUAUCAAUGACAAUUCAUUGUCAGCACAAAAUGUGCUGACUACUUGGCUUGUGAUACCCUCGGGGAAAUAAUCUCCACCAGCAGUGGCAUCGACCCAGUGGUUGUAAAUAAACUCAUCAUAGAUACCAGGACUAAAUUUAGUAUAUACACCAGACGCACGUUUCGUCUACAAAAGACUCAUCAGUGACGCUCGAAUUCAAAAAAGUUAAAAAGGCCAAAUAAAGUAAGAAGUUGAAGAGCUAGAGGAGUAAAAUUACUUAAAGUCUUGCCAAAUACAGCUAAGGUAAUCUAUGCUUGAGGUAGAAAAGCCUUAGUAUUUCAAAAAAAUCCAAAAUUUGUAAACAGUGAAUUUAUAAAUAUAACCAUAUCAAUGACAAUUCAUGUCAGCACAAAAAGUGCUGACUACUGGGCUUGUGAUACCCUCGGGGAAAUAAAUCUCCACCAUCAGUGGCAUCGACCCAGUAGUUAUAAAUAAACUCAUCAUAGAUACCAGGACUAAAUUUAGUAUAUACGCCAGACGCGCGUUUCAUCUACAAAAGACUCAUCAGUGACGCUCGAAUCCAAAACAAGUUAAAGAGGCCAACUAAAGUAAUAAGUUGAAGAGCUAGAGGACAAAAGUCCUAAAAGUUUUGCAAAAUACAGCUAAGGUAAUCUAUGCCUGAGGUAGAAAAGCCUUAGUAUUUCAAAAAAAUUCAAAAUUUGUAAACAGUAAAUUUAUAACCAUAUCAAUGACAAUUCAUGUCAGCACAAAAAGUGCUGACUACUUGGCUUGUGAUACCCUCGGGGAAAUAAAUCUCCACCAGCAGUGGCAUCGACCCAGUGGUUAUAAAUAAACUCAUCAUAGAUACCAGGACUAAAUUUAGUAUAUACGCCAGACGCGCAAUUCGUCUACAAAAUACUUCAGUGACGCUUUAUCAAUUUCAUUAAUUUACCUGUAACGCAUUCUAAAAUGUGACGGGUCAAUUAGAAAUAAAUAUAUAUAUUCAUAAUAUUAUGAGUUUAAAAAUCAUGCGGUUAAUCCUAGGUAUACUAAACAUGCUAAAAUAAUGAACUGUUGACACAGAACUAUGUUCCGCCUUUACGUAAAUUUCAUAGUGUAAUAUAAUUGUUGAAAUUAAAAUGGCAACACUAUUAGAUAUUAUAGUAACCAAUGUAAACUAUGCAAAACCUACAAAGUCAGUAAACCAUGACUGAGGGUGCAUGACCAAAUAAUCUCCAUCAAAUUGAGAUAAGUCGAUGGUAUGAAUAUAACUGCAUACCAUGUAUUAAUUUUUGUUACAAGAAGUUACCCUAAAACUGACCAAACAAAGAAAUUAUGCGAAAAUGUAAAAGUCAACGAACCAUUAGCGAGAGAUCUGGGUUAUAUAAUCUUCGGGAGAUCGAAUAAACAACAACAGAACACAACAUCGCAUGACCUUACCAUGGUGGUUUCCCUAAAACUGAUCUAUAACAACCUAAAAUAGAUCGUUGACGCCACCGCCACUGCCGGAACAUACGUUGAUAGGUUCGUUGAGGCGAGACAAGGAUCAACUUUGAAGUCAAUUGUAUUUUCUUACUACUCAUAUAUAUACAUGUUACUCUUAAUUUAAUUAAUGCAAAAAUGCAAACAUAAUAUUACGAGAAUGUUUUCUGUUGAUACAUAAAUCUUGUACAUCUCAGAAGUAUGUAUACGCCAAAUAUAGUUAACCUACCGCUUAUAUUAUCUGAGACUCUUAAAAUCAAAUUGACAAAGGACCAGGAAAACGAUAUCAAGGUCAAACAAUCCUGCUAACUGGACAUAUACAUCUAGCAACUAUUCAAUAUCAUUGACCUACUGCUUAUUGUAACUGAUAAACAGACAGAAUCGGGAAACUACAUAUCCAUCAGUGAACCAUCAAAAUGAGGUCAAGGUCAGAUGAAUACUUCAAGUUUGACAUGUACACCUUACAUUCAUUCCAUACUCCGAAUGUUGUUGACGUACUGUUUAUAGUAUCAUAGAAACUGACAUAAACAAGAAAACAUGAUAUUGACCAUUGGAACAAUGAAAAUGAAGUAAUGGUAAGAUGAACAAUGUGGACUAGACAUGACAUAUUAAACUUAUCCCAUAAACCAAAUAUAGUAGACCUAUUGAUAAAAGUAUCUGAGAAUAAAAUAGAUAUAAAUGUCCAAAGGGCAAAAAAAGGACGAAGUUAAAGAGUAGCUAUGGUAACCUAGAUACUGACAUAAUCAUGAAAACUUAAAAUUGACCAAUGAACCACAAAAACAAAGACAGAUGAACCCUGUCAGAUGGACAUGCACACCUAACGAUAAAAAGCAUAAAGAUGACUUACUGCUAAUAUAUUGUGUGAAACAAACCUUAUCAUGAAAUCUAUACAUUUAUAAAUGAACCCUAAAUUGAGGUCGGACAGACAUGUACAUCCUACAAAUGUUUAAGACACCAGCUAUAGUUGACGUUAAAAGUUCUCAUAAUAAUGGAAAAAAAACCAAAUUGACCACAAUCUCAGAGUAAGCUUCUUUUAAAACAGAAAACAUUAAUCUGAAAUGGAAACAACUAUCCUGCGAAUGGACAUAUCAGAAGCAUAAUCCCACUACUGUAAAAGGGGCAAAAGGGAAAAUCCGAUAAUAAUAAAAAAUUUACGCAUUGUGGAUGUGAUAUGUUUUUAUAUUAUUAGCAAACUUUAUUCAGAGAAAUUAUUAGGGUAUUUUGAAAUUAAAUGAAUGUAGCAAAAUUCAGCAAUCAAUAAAUUGGAAAUUUUGCACAAAAAACAACUAUGAUUAGACAGAUAAAAGAUAUUUACUAACUAAGGUUUCAACUCCUUCCGGCAAAGUUGACCUUAAAUGGAUUAGGCUAUUUUUUUAUGUUCUCUUUGGUUAUAUAGCUCUUCUCCUGUUUCGGUUCUUAUACAUCCUUGGCUUUCAGAUAUUCGGCUGUUAACAUUCCUGGUGCAGGUAAAUCCAAAAACGUACUUCAUACGCAUGACAUAAAUAUAUUGUGUAUCAAUAAAUUUAGGUCUUAUUUGGGCUAUAGUGUGGCAUUGCCACAUUCAAAAGAAAUAAACCUCCUCGAAAGUUUCCCAUCAAUUGUAUCAUGCAUUAUACAUUAUACCAGAAAAACAAAAAAACGAAUAAUCUAAGCAAAUGGUACCUUAAUCAUCCAGAUUUGGUUUUUGCAGAAAUUUCCUUUAAGUACCUUGUUUUUCACACAUUGUACAAUCCAAUCAAAAUGAUGGUGUUUUUGUCGAAGGAACUAUCAUGCAUUAUGUUUAAUUUAGCUCUAUAGUAUCGGAGAAAGGCAAAAUAAACAUGUAAUUUUCAUCAAGGUUCAGUUACAAUGUGUCAAUUGCUAAGAGAGAGGCAAAAGAUACCAAUGAGAUAUUUAAACUCAUAAGUCGAACGCAAACUGACAAUACCAUGGCAAAGAAUGAAAAACGACAAACAAACAAACAACAGUAUACAAAACAUAACAUAGAAAACUAUAGAUUGAGAAAUACAAACUUCGCCUAGAAACGGGAAUGCUUUGGAAGGGUAGGCAGAUCCUGCUGCACAUGUUGCAUCCGUGCAAAGGCUAUUUCGCCCUUUGUAAAGCGUUUCUUGGGACCAGUGUCUUGCCUAAAAUUGCGGUUGUAAGUGCAAAAGUGUAAUUUGUAAUGUUGACAACUAAAACUAAGUCCAGUUAUGAGUAAAAUACACAUUUUUGUUAUUUAGAUCGAUGCUAUUUUUCUUAAUCUGGGAGAAGCUUCUGCUAAAGUUUCUUAACAUGUUAUGAAGGUUAACAAUAAUGCACUUACAACGUAUUUUAAGAUUGUUAUGUUCGGUUUAUCGACAAAAUGUUGCAAACUCGACGGAAGACCUUAUUCUUGAAAAUGUUGAAGCAGCAAAAAUCUUCAAUAUAUAUCUACUAUAUGUUUCUUCUUUGUACAAUUUUAUUCUUAAUGAUAAUCUUGAGAUACUUUUUUUUUCAGACGAGCAUCACGAGCAGUGUAUGACGUGUGACAAUAAUAGUAUGGUGCAGCGAUACAUCUUAAUGUUUAUAAAUGUUUGUGAUUUGGAUUGUGAGACCAAUUUGUUGGGGUUUUUUUUUUGUCACAAGAUAUAGUUCCAAGCGUUACAAUGUACAUUUUGUAUAUUUCUAUGCUUUGGUAUUUUCUAUAGCAAGGUUUUUUUAAGAAAGAUUCCAUUCAUCAUAGCUGUAAACACAGAUUAAAUGACUUUCUUUGAUCAGAAAAGCAAGAAACCCCAAUCUUUAUGUAAACCUAUCAAUAAUAUAUUAAUAAGAAAGAAAAAGCAGUUUUUGUUUUUAUACUUUCCAAAUUGUACUGGUGGCCUUUGAAGAACUCAGGCAAUGUUUUCUGUGAUUUGGAUCGUGAGAUCAUUUUUGGGGGGAUUAUUAACUUUCAUCACAAUUUUGUGUUCCAAGAUUUUAUUCCUAGCAUAAACAUAGGUUCAAAGAGGUUUUUUUUAAACAGAAAAAACACGAAAAACAAAUCUUUAUCUUAAUCGAUACAGCUUUACAUUUUAGAAACAGAAAGAAAAAACUAUUUUUUUCAGUUGUUUUUUUCUUUUUCUUUAUCAAUGUUUAUACAUUCCUUCAUAUGUUUUUUAAGUAACAAAACAAGAUUUUUCUCAUUAAAAUUUACAACUGCAAUAUUACUGUAUGUGGAACUCCAUCCAGAAACCUCUUACUGAUCAUUGAAGUGUGAUAUCUAGAUCAAGUUGAAAUAAUAUGUUGGAUGGAUUACCUUUUCACCAAAUACCAACUAUUGUUCACAUAUAAUGCAUAGAUAUUCAAAAACAGACCCUAUUCUAUAUAUGCUAAAUAUCUAACCUCUGCACUGGAGUGUAAAGAUGAGGUCAAUGCCAUAUGACAUAUAAGACACAGAUAUACAAGUACUUUUAGCAGUCAAUCAAUUCAUAUACGAAAAAGUGUUUGAUCUAGGUGAAAAUAUGCCAAUGAGGAUAACGAACACUCGAUUGAAAAUAGGUUCUUUAAUUUAAGGUAUCAGAUGAGAAUCAACAUAACGACGUAUGCAUAACAUAAAGACCUUACAAUACAAAAUCAUAAACUACUAUAAAUACAAGUACAAAGAACGAUAACUCAGACAUGUCUAUGUACUUUUGUACAAUAUAACAUUCUAAGUAUAAUGAUAUUGUCAUUGUCAUUGUCAUGUACAUCUAUAUUUUCUGUCUUACCUGUAUUUGUUUAUGGAUCCAUCAACUCAAAUUUUGUUUUUAUACUUGCCAACAUUUAGGCCGAUGUUUCUUUAACAUCUCAUGGCCGAUUAAGACCAGCUAGUUAACAUUGAACAUUUAUUCUACUGUACAAAUAUGUUACUUCUAUCUAUAUAACCGAUUCCAGAAGCACUAACAAAAACAUUAUUUUCAUCAACCUAUUCAUUGAAAAUAUUACUCGUAUGUAUUAUCAUUCAGAAAGAAGAGACUGUCAAUACCGGGUUCUUAAUACAUUUAUAAAGUCAGUGUAAAGCAAAAAGGACGAUCACUCUUCAACCGAAAUAGUGAGCUUUGUCAUGAGUAAAAUCAAAGUAAAAUUUGAAAAUUCCCAGAGGAACAUGCUCAUUUAUUGCAGAAAACAAGACAAAAUUCCCUUUUCCAAUCAACCAAUAACCAUUACGUUUGAAAGUGGAAAAUUGAAAAUCGUCAAAAUCAAACUUGACCUUAAUUUCUUCCAUUGUAACAAUAUAUUAAAAUUAUAAGCACAGGUUCAACGGUUCAUAAGAUAUUGCAAGGAAAUAAUAUAGAAAACAAUUUCCAAUUAGAUAAAUCGCUCCUGAGGUCUCAUAGUGAUAUGAUUUCCUCCAGUGCAACAAGACGUAGCGGGUCAAACCAAAGACUUUAAUUAUUUUUUAACAACAUAAUAAUAUUUAUUCAUCUAAUCUUGCUUGUUACAAAUUUCACCAAGAGUCCAAGCUUCUCUUGAUUUACCCUGUUACACUCCACUGAUUAUCCAGGGAAAUAAACAGCUGAUCUAACUUAUUAAGUUAUAAAAAAUAAUAUACAGGAUGUAUAGUUGUCUUAUUCAGAGAUUCAUCAAUGCUAAAAAUUCUUUCUAAUUGACAAUAACAUUGGACAUUUUGAUUUAUACGCAUCUAUUCUUUUAUUAAAUUCAUUUUCAAAAAUACUAAAGACAUCAAAGACUUUAAAUUUGGUAUGUCCUGCUUCGCCGCUAAGCAUGCGUCAUUAUAGAGGUAAAAGCAAAGACUUGUCGUGCCCAGAUUAAAUAAAAGAUCUUUACAUUGGCAUUUGCUACUUCUACCAUAAGCUCACAGCAUUUAGAAUAAAGACAAGAAAAAAGAGGUAAAGAAUAGAGAAGUGGGGUUAUAAAAUAUAAAGAAUAGAGAGUAAAAGGCGAAAUAAAUAAAGGAUAGAGAAAAAUUGUCUAAAAAUAUAGAAUAAUGAUAUAAAGUACUCCCACCCAUACCCUCAUAUAUGUCAAUAGACGGUAAAUAGAUAUCCGUGUAAAACCGACCGCUUCGACUGUGUUUUCAGUUUAUUUAUAAAUAUUUUAUCGUUAUUAUAAAAUCAUCCUUCCGAAAACAUUUUUACUUCAUUUCAUAUUUAUGUUUAAAGUUAUAAUUUUUAAUGUGAAUAAAUCCCAUGCUACAUCGAUCUAAACGUCACAGUCUGAUGCAUAUUUAGCACAAUGGGGAAAAAAACUAGUGAAUAAAUAAUUGAUUUUAAGUUAUUUAUAACACCUAGAAGUUUAAAACGGUAGGUUAUUUAUUCAUGUAAAUCUUGCAACUGAUUAAUGUAAAUAUCACCAUUUAUACAGAUUUGUACUUUAAGAAAACAUGUGAAAAUGAUUUGAUUGACUGUUGGAUCAUUGGUUAAUUUCCAGUGGAUUAUGUUUUAUACUAAUUGAGGCGAUAUAAUGGGUUAAUAGUUUAUGCGGAGCGGAAUGUACUUCACUAGAGCGAGACACUACACAAGUCAAAUAUUUAUAUUCUCUCGCACAAGGGGAUUUUGCACUGGAACACAUUUCAACCUUUCGUGACGUCUAGGGGUAUGUUAAUAAUGCAUAAAAAAGAGACAUCACAUGAUGUGUAUAUAAGAAAUUAUUUAAAUAAACAACUUGUUGUAAUAAACCGACACGCAACAUGAAUCUGAUUUAAAACAUGCAAUUCAACAAGGUAAUAGCUCACUGUAAGAAAUUUCAACCUGUUUCGAUACGUUUACGUUAAACACUUAAUAUUUCAUACAUAUCCUAGACGACAAAAUAUAAACAUGAAAGGUACAUUCGGAAUAGUUAUGGCGCCCCCAGAGGCUUGUCAACGUGCUAUCGCACAAUCAAUCUCCGUCACAGAGUUAUAUUCUUUCGUAAAUGCUUCGCAAGACUUCACUUAAUAAUCGAAUAUUUUCUUCAUGUGCCCCUUUUUAUAAUUAAACAUCUCAAAACAGAUAUGUGUGAUCUAACUACUUCAUUAUUCUAUUUUAGAAAUUGAAGUCAAAUGAUUGAUUGUUUAAAGUAUCCAUGGCCACUGUCGUAUACAUCAAAUUUAUAACAAUUGUGAAACCUUUUCAAAUAAUUUCCCAUGAAACUAUUUCAAUGAGUUUUAAAAUUAAUACUGCAAAAAUACACACUGCAUACAUUCAUCAAUAAAUAAAAAUAAUAAUUAUACUCUUACAUCUAAUCACAGCGCUUCAUAGUUGAUUUUCAACACGCGCCUUGGGAACAUAUAAGACCAACCUAAAACCAAGAAAAUGUAACGAAAUUUAGAUUGGAACGGAUAUGAACUAUGUGUCGGUGAUUGUCUUGAACGGCAAACGGUCACUGCAAGACAUUUAACCUACCCGGACAGUUCUUGUCGUCCAGAGGUAAAAUGUCAUGUAUAUUCAAGACUACAUAAUAUUAUUAUACCUUGUGGUUUACUAGAUCGAUACACUACACACAUUUAAAACCACUUAUCUUUGUGUGAAACUGAACAAACCAUCAUGGAGUACUUUUCUCAUCAAAAUGGAACACAUAUACUUGUGUGGGUAACAGUCACUUGAAGACAUAUAUAUAUAACCGAAAAUAUUAUGGCGUCUCACAAACCAAAUUUUUGCGCUGAUUGUAUCAACCAAUACAAAAUCGAACUGGAAUCUUAAAUUGUAUUACAAGUGUUGCAGUUUGUUACAAAUUGAACUUAAACUGUAUCAUUUUUGUUAUUUACUAUAGCUGAUGAACCGAUGAAUCAGCAAGUCAGAACAGAAGUGAAAGACAAGAAAGCCAGCACGAGUGAAUGAUGUUCGACAUUUUUUCAUUCAACUUUUCUGAAAGUUUCGUUGAAAAUGUACAUCUGUCCUGCAUAUUACUUUUUCUGGUUUUGGGAAUGCUCAUUCUUAUAUUAUUUCUAUCGACAUUCUUAAAGUAUGACCACACAAAUUCACACAGUUUAUUC
rnacentral:lncRNA from 1 species